CGCACAUUGCGCCCCUUGGUAUUCCGAGGGGCAUGCCUGUUCGAGCGUCAUUAUCACCACUCAAGCUCUGCUUGGUCCUGGAUCGCGCCGGUUGCGGCUGAUCCCAAAUCCAGUGGCGGCCUCCGUAGGUUCUUCGCGUAGUACAUUCUCUCGCGUGGGCGCUACGGAAUCGUCGGCCAGAAGCCUUUUCUCAGGUUGACCUCGAAUCAGGUAGGAAUACCCGCUGAACUUAA
rnacentral:misc_RNA from 1 species